UCUCUCUCUCUCUCCACCCUCAGCCGCCACACUCCCAUCCAUUCUCCUCUCCUUUCCUCUCCUCUCCUCUCCGGCGGUGGGUAUCGGCGAUGACAGCGUGCGGCGGCGUCCUCCUUCGCCGCUUACCACGCCGCCUCUAUCUCCGCCGCCACCACGCUCGGGAGCGGUGGAUCUGCUAGAUCCCGGGCCUAGGGCGGCUAGAUCGAGCGGCGGCAAUCCCCGGGCGGCUCGAGGACGGCGUGCGGCUGCAUCGACGGGCCCAACCGCUAGCCGAUUCCAAACCACGUUGGCCACAGCAUCCUCGCGCCGCCCGCUGACCACCCCCCCUUCCUCGUGCUCCUCCGCGCAUAGCAGCAGCCGGGUCAGAGAGAGUGCCGACACGGCGUGGACGCGUCCGCAAAUGCCAGUGCUGGUCCUCACGCUGAUAGCUAGUAGGCCCAUUAGGCUUGUUUAGUGUAAAUGAGACCCAAAUUUCCCCAUCUGAGUCAUCUGACCAUCUCCUCCAACCUCCGCCAAUCCCCAUCCCCAAUCCCCAUCGGCGGACGGGGGCUGCUGUGGUGCGCGCCGCGCGGGAGGGCAGGGUGAGGUGAGGAGGGCGCGGCCACCAGGCUUCCAGAGCUGCGGCUGUGGCAUCUGCUCCGGCAAGGCGGCAGCACGACCAGCCGCCAUGGCCCAAAUGGGCAGGCGCGCAGCGCAGGAAGAGCAGAGACAGAGGCAGGGUGGGAUGAAUGGCACAACAGCAGUGCAGGCGUGCAGCACCCAGCGACGACAGCAAGCAAGCGACAAGCCAACAAGCCAAGCAUCCAUCACUCCAUCAACAGGCCACACCUAAAAUUUUUUCCGUCCUCCGCCACUGGUGUGGCUGUGAUGCAUCAAGCGCCGGUGGUUGAUAUGGCCGAGACUUCUGUGCCGAAUCUUGGCAUGAAGCCCAAGAUCUCUGAACGGACAAGCAACACCAAGGCCACAAUGGGCACAAGGAUGAAUCCUUACGGAUGCUGCCGUCAUGCACGUUGUCCACCUGUGCGUUGUCAUGCGGCAGAUAAACGGGCUGGAGCAGCAAUACGUAUGAACAUAAGUUGCUGCUCAUACAAUACAUGUGAGGAUUCUACCAUUAAAUGCACAAUGACCCAAUUUGAGGAUCAGUUUAGCACUAUAAAACCUGAUGGGAUUCAAGUCAGAUGCCGUAAGGAUUCAUAGAUACAUUAUGCCACUGGGGUACAUGUAAUUCAAGUACAAUAAGAAACUACUCAAUUGUUUGGCAGCAAUUUUGCAUCAUCAGAUGCUGAAUAGUGCUGCUGUGCUUCUGGCCGUUGUGCUGUUGCUGCUGUGCUUUUGGCCAUUGCGCUACUGCUGCUGUGAUGCUAUUGCAGAUGUGCUGCUGUUGCUCUCGCAGUAGCAGGAAUAUGAAAUUUGAGAGUUUGGAUAUGUACUGAAUUGGUGGAUGGAUGUAAUGAUAUUGCAUUUCAAGACUUCUGGAAUGUGAAAUGCAUGUGACAUUGCAAUCAUUUGUGGAAUGUUAAUUCAUUUGAAUCUGAUUUUGUAUGUGCUGAAA